rnacentral:lncRNA from 1 species
ACACAAGUAGAAUGAAAGCGGCUCAGGAAACAGCGCUAUCGGGGUGUGUUAUCUCGGAAACCAAAUAUUUGAUCAUCAGUCCCGCAGCGCGCUGGCGCUGCCGGGGGGUUAGUUUGAGCAAGUCUGGAGAAUGUGCGCGCACAUAUGGAGGGGGAGCUCCCCGGCCCUCGCUGCAGCCCCAGGCUCGCGUCGCCGGGGUCGUCGCGGCUCCAGUCGGAAACCGGGACCCCCAGCCGCCCCCGCGGCGUCAGCUCUGAGAUCCCGCGCAACCCAAUCGCCAAAACCUGUGGUUUGCGCGCCACACGUGGUAAAUGCUGAAAAUAGAUUCUGCCGGCCCGGGACCUACCACUAAAUACUUAAAAUAGAAGACUAGCGGCAGGGCACAGUGGCUCACGCCUGUAAUCCCAGCACCACUUUGGGAGGCUGAGGCGGGAGGAUCACCUGAGAUCGGGAGUUCGAGACCAGCCUGCCUAACAUGGAGAAACCCUGUCUCUACUAAAAAUACAAAAUUAGCCAGGCAUGGUGGCGCAUGCCUGUAAUCCCAGCUACUCGGGAGGCUGAGGCACGAGAAUCGCUUGAACCCGGGAGGCAGAGGUUGCGGUGAGCAGAGAUCGCGCCAUUGCACUCCAGACUGGGCGACAAGAGUGAAACUCCGUCUCAAAAAAAAAAAAAAAGAAAAGAAAAGAAAAAAAAAGAAAAAAGAAAAAAAUAAACAAAGAAAGAAAACAAAGAAAAUUAGCAAUGGCACCGUUUCUUCCCCAGCUCCAGCCAAGAGAGAAUGGGGCAUCCGGCGGCCCGGAGAGGGGCCCCAAGGCGCUCGGAGCGCGCGGUACGCUAAGGCGGGCGCACCACGAGGGGACAGAUGAGGAAAUUGAGGCUCAAAUACUUGAGGGAACCUGCCCAAAGCCACACCAAUGCUGCGGCCCUAACUCAGUCCAGUGUGGUUCCUGACUUCUCAUCCACCUCCGUCAUGAGACCAUCUGCCACAGGCUCCUGCCUCCUGGUUCAACACCUGGCAGAGUCUCCCUAAGUCACUGAGGCUGGAGUACAGUGGCAUGAUCUCGGCUCACUGCAACCUCUGUCUCCUGAGUUCAAGCGAUUCUCCUGCCUCAGCCUUCCAAGAAGCUGGGAUUACAAGCGCCCACCACCACACCCGGCUAAUUUUUUUGUAUUUUUAGUGGAGACGGGGUUUUGCCAUAUUGGCCAAGCUGGUUUCGAAUUCCUGACCUCAGGUGAUCCACUGGCCUCGGUUUCCCCAAGUGCUGGGAUUACAGGUGUGAGCCACCACAGCCAGCCUAAAAAUAACUUUUUUAAAACAAACAUAAAUUUUAAAAUAACUUCUUUUAGGCAGUCCAUUCCAUGGAAUUGGUGGCACUGACCUCAUCUGAUGUCCCAGAAAGCUGGCCACAAAAGUUUCCAUCCCCCAUGACAGACAAACAGUUCUACUCUGGGGCAAUUCUCCCUGUGUCCAGACCACAAACGCCCCUGCCUGUUUGGUGCAUCUCAGCAGCAGAAAAUCACCAACCACAAAGCUUUCAGGACCGGCAUUUAAAAUCAACCCAAAGACACUCCCCUUCCACAUGCUCUGGGCUCCGUGCGAUCUUUCAUAGCGCAGCUCCACGCUCCUCCUCGCAGACGAGACUGGCAUUCAAACCAGGAAUUCUUCUGAGGGGCUCUGUGUGCAGGAAUACAAUCACCUCAAGCUCGUGUAAGAAGAAGAGAGCUCCAGUUACCAGGGCUUCCGAAGGCUUUUAAUAGAAAACAUUUGUGCCAAAUAAAAAGCUUCUCCUUGUGUUUUGCUUUAGCUGUAAAUUAUCUGCUCCAAGGAUCCACCCAGAAAUCCCUACUGAGGGUGAACUCCACAGUGUGGUUGAGUCCAGAUUUGUUGCUCGGUCCAGAUAGAUUUUCAGCUGCUGCAUCCAAACUGCAGCCAGGGGGACAAUAAGAACAGAACCUCUUUUGUUCUGAUGAAACUGUUUUUAAUGGUCCCUUCUAGGCCGGGCCCUAGUGGAAGUCUCAACAAGGCUGCUCAUUGAAACGCCCUUGAAAGAGCCAAGUGGGGAGCGCGAGGGACCCUGGGGAGGGGCCGGCGGCCCUUUGCUCAGCCCUGGUGGUCCUGCCGCAAAGGAGAGCUGGGCUGUUUUAUUUGUUGUCUGAGAUGGAAAAGGGGGAGGGGGUCGUCGAGACGAGGACCGUCCCGCAAAUUUCUAUAAUUACUGCCUGCAGAGUGUUAGGGACACACACACAGUAACAUCAAACGUCAUCCUGGAGGGUUAGGGGUUCCCAAAAGCUGAACACCCAGAAGCUGGUAGAGCAAAUCCACUAAAUGGAACAACAUGUGUUCCCCGGCCCAAGAACUCCAACUGCAUUAAGGGAGGCACAUUUCUGACCACUUUACUUUUCAUCUUGAGGCCUCAGGGGGCCCUUUGGUUCAUGCAGAAUCCAGGAUAUAGAGGGGAAGAAACAGAUGGAAAGAUACGAACCGCUACCAGGGCACAAGUAGCUGCCUGCCCCGCACCCUUCUUAAGCCCCAAUGUCUGCAGGUGUCCGUCCUCUGAGGGUCCCCCAGUGGCACCUGAAGGAUGCUCUCCAUGUAGCAACAGUGACAAAAGAAAUAAGGAAACAAGCCGGGCAUGGUGGCUCAUGCCUGUAAUCCCAACACUUUGGGAGGCCGAGGUGGGAGGAUAGCUUGAUCCCAGGAGUUCGAGUUCAGCCUGGGCAAUGUAGUGAAACCUCAUCUCUCUACAAAACAAAUAAGAAAGAAAAAAUAGCUGGGCAUGGAGGCACAUGUUUGUAGUCCCAGCUACUCGGGCGGAGGUGGGAGGAUCCCUUGAGCCCAGGAGUUUGAGGCUGCAGUGACCUAUGAUCACGCCACUGCAUUCCAGCCUGGGCAACAGAGCGAGACCCUGUCUCUAAAAAAUGAAAAGUUGUGAUUUAUCCCUCAGAGGGAGUUUCCCCACUUUUGAGUGAGAUUUUAAGUUUGCCUCUGAAGAACAUGCUCUGGUUCCCCACAAAAGCAAUCGGUGGUUCUCAGCAGGGGGCAAUUGUGCCCCCACAGAGAACAUGGAGCAGUGUCUAGGGACAUUUUUGCUGUCACAACUGGGGAAAGGGGGUGCUACUGGCAUUUAGUGGGUGAAGGUCAAGGAUGUGGCUUAACACCCUCUGAUGCACAGGAUGGGCCCCCCAACAGUGGAGGAUCUGGCCCAGAAGAGAAUAGUGCUGAGGUCGAGAAACCCUGGGCUAGGAGGAGGUGACUCAGACCCCAUUAAAGCACCCACCGCCGCUGAGAUGGGAAGGACCCUCAUUUGUUUGAGGUUCAGGAAGGAUCAAAUUGCUGUCUGACUGGUGGAGGCACAAUUUCUCCUUUCCAAGUGCAUGAGAACAAGGGCGACUGGGGCUCUUUAAAGAAACAGGUUUUAGGGUUAGUCUUUAUUUGGCACUAACUCAUCUUAAAUUGUGUGGGGGAAAUGGAAUACAAUUCAAGUUGUAUUACUAAUCAAUCUUUGAGUAGAAUAAAUCACACCAAAUGAUAUUCUAUUAAAUCUGAAAGUAAUUAAAAGCCAUGCAAAAUUCUGGACUUUCAUCAAAUUUUGCUCAGCUCAAACCUUCUACCCUGCCCCCAAACACACCUGCUUCCAUCACCAGAGACUGUCUGGAGGUAGAACAUGCUUAGUAUUUGACAUAUUGGUUUGUUAAUCACAUCUCUUUGUCUCUAAGAAGUGAUGAGAAGGGGCUGAUAUCACAGAACUUUGAGCAGAGAGGGAAGGGGUGAAGUUUAGGAUCUGAGCCCCAAGGUUUGAGUCCCAGCUCUGCCAGCGGUGUGACCUUGGGCAACCUGCCCCCACCACCCCAAAACUUGGAUUUUCUCAUCUGUAAAGAGGGAGUAAAAAUAGUUUCCUCCUCCUAGGCUUUUGUUGUUUUGGGGGUUGUUUUUCUUGAUGUUGUGGUUUUGAGACAGGGUCUUGUUCUGUUACCCAGGCUGGAGUGCAGUGGUGCAAUCAUGGUUCACUGCAGCUUUGACCUCCUGGGCUCAAGCAAUACUCGUGCCUCAGCCCCACAAGUAGCUGGGACUACAGGUGCGUGCCACCAUGUGUAGCUAAUUUUUUUUUUUUUUUUUUUUUUGUAGAGAUGGGGUUUCACCAUGUUGCCCAGGCUGGUCUCAAGCUCCUGGACUCAAGUGAUCCACCUGCCUCAGCCUCCCAAAGUGCUGGCAUUACAAGUGUGAGCCACCGCACCCAGCCUCCCAGGGUUCUUAUAAAGAUUGACAUAAGAUAAUAGAUUUAAACUUUUCAGCAUACUCCCUGGCCUCUGGGACGCAUCAGAAGGUGUUGGCUUUUUUUUUUUUUUUUGAGACAGAGUUUCACCCUGUGGCCCAGGCUGGAGUGCAAUGGCGCAGUCUUGGCUCAUUGCAACCUCCGCUUCCUGGGUUCCAGUGAUUCUCCUGCCUCACCCUCCCUAGCAGCUGGGACUACAGGCGCAUGCCACCACACCUGGCUAAUUUUUAUAUUUUUAGUAGAGACAGUGUUUCACUAUGUUGGCCAGGCUGGUCUCGAACUCCUGACCUUGUGAUCCACCCACCUUGGCUUCCCAAGGUGCUGGGAUUAUAGGCGUAGCCACUGCACCCAGCCAGCUAUCUUUAUAGUCCAACUUUGCCCCUCUGCAGGCCCCAGGAAGCCUGGAGUGAUGGGGUCCAUCCCCUUGCUGCGUGUUGGGGCACCCCGCUUCUUUGCACCUACAUAAUUGUAUGGGUCCCAAUGACUUUUGUGGCUUGGAGUCUGCCUUCCCCUGGAGAAUAGAAGCUCUGGAAGGGCAGAACAGGGCUGUCUCAGCACCUGGCACAAAACUCAAUAAAUGCUUGUGUAAUGAAUGGCGAAGGGAAUAUUUGCCCCAUAUGAAGAGCCUGGCUUCCAGUCCUUGCUCUGCAACUUACUAGCUGUGGACUUGGGAUAACAAAAAUAAUAGCCUUUUCUUUCCCACGCAUCUAAGUCAUCAGCAGGUCCUGCUGCUUCUACCUUCAAGGUAGAGUCUGACCCUACCCACUUCUGCCCUGGGUCCAGGCUACAUCUGCCUGGACUGUGGCCCCGGAAGUCCAUGCCACAGCCCACAAUUGCCCCCCGCAACUUGCUGCCUGCCAGUAUCACUUUGCCCCAUUCCAGAUGUUCCAGCUACGCUGCCUCUUCCUUCUGUAUCACCACCCAGACCACCCUAGCAAAAUCUCUCCCCCUGGGGUCAACCAUUGUCUGUAAUACCUUUUAUUUAUCUGCCACAUGUUGUCUUUCUCCAUGGAAGAGUCUCUUUCUUCCUUAUCACUGCAUUUCUAAUGCCUAGAACAGUACAUGGUCCAUUAAAAGAAAACUCCAUAAGUAUUUCCUGAACAAAUGAAUGUAUUGAUUUAAUUAAUUGAUGGUUGACUAAUUAAUAGUGAAGGGCCCAGGCUCUGAAGCCAGACUACCUGGGUUCAAAUCCUAGCUGCUUCACAUUCUAGUAGAACGUCCUGAGGCAUGAGAUUUGGGCUGUUUGAGCCUCAGCUGCCUCAUCUACAACAUGGCGAAACAGCCACAUCCAUUUUUGGGGUUGCUACAAGGAUUAAGCAGGUCCACACUACGUACCAACUUAGCCCCACACUGACAUCUCAGAGAUACUCAGUGACUGCAUGGGGAACGCGUUACUGCCUCAUAGUAGGACGACAUUUGCCCAUUUGAAAAGCACUCCUACGCUCUUUCCUUUUAAGCAAUUCAGGUGGGACCUUAUGGAAUUGCUGAUAUCUGACCGUUUUAACCUACAAAAAUGGCAGCUUCAUUGGGGUUAAAAGAUGUUUCCCCAGGCCACACGGCUGGGAAGCGCAGGAGCCACUCUUGAAUUGGAACUCCUGCUCAGUGUGUUAACUGGGCCCCUUUGAGCCUUUAGAAGCUGGCAUCUGACGCCAGGAGAACUCCAGGUUCACUUUGUUCCUCCCUGGUGGCAGGAAGGAGGCAGCUGCCUAAACAGUGGUGCCAGGAGGGAUGAUGGCCACAGGGGCGUGCAAAGGCAGGGACCGCAGUGCAGCUGAGCAGGAGAUGGAGUCUUGCGUGAUAGGAAGAGAUGCCCCUACCUAGCCUCUGAGCCCAUUCCCUGAGCACAUCACACAGCUCCCUUUCCUCUCUUUCUUUCCCCAUUCCUUCCUUCCCUCCUUCCCUUUUUCCUUCUUUUUCUUUCUUCCUCCCUUUUCUUUUGCCCUUCUUAGCCUUUCUUUCUUCAUUUUUUAAUUAAACAAUGACUGGAUUCCUUUCCAGCAGUUUCACAAGGGGUGAAGUCACUUAGCAACCUUAAUUAUUUCCAACUUAAUAACGUCCUGGGGUGGGGGACAGGUCGAGCCCCCAGCGGCCGGAAUGCCUUGCUGGGUAAGCCGCUCAGAGGCGGGCUCUGGAGCAAAUGAAGCGUCCGACCAAAUACUUCUC